rnacentral:rRNA from 1 species
AUUGAACGCUGGCGGCAUGCCUUACACAUGCAAGUCGAAUGGCAGCAAGGGCGCUUGUACCUGGUGGCGAGUGGCGAACGGGUGAGUAAUACAUCGGCACGUACCUUAUCGUGGGGGAUAACGCAGCGAAAGAUGUGCUAAUACCGCAUCAGCCAGGACGGGGAAAGGGGGGGAUCGCAAGACCUCGCGCGAUUAGCAGUGCCGAUGACUGAUUAGCUAGUUGGUAGGGUAAAAGCCCACCAAGGCGACGAUCAGUACGCGGACUGAGAGGACGAUCAGCCAGACUGAGACUGGGACACGGCCCAGACUCCUACGGGAGGCAGCAGUGGGGAAUUUUGGACAAUGGGGGCAACCCUGAUCCAGCAAUGCCGCGUUAGUGAAGAAGGCCUUCGGGUUGUAAAGCUCUUUUGUCAGGGAAGAAACACCGGCUCUAACACAGUCCGGGAAUGACGGUACCUGAAGAAUAAGCACCGGCUAACUACGUGCCAGCCGCCGCCGUAA